GCUUCCGGGGGGUUUCACACGAGCCUCUGUGACAAAGAGGUGGCAGGUCUCUGCCUCUGGAUAUGGCUGUGUCUGAGCCUGUGGCCAGGACGUGAGAAGGCCGAUGGGGGUGACAGGGGCAAGAACAUGCAGAGACCUGACCUGACGAGGGAGGCACCAACCCUGCGGCUGCGUUCCUUUUAGGGUUUUAAUGCCAAGUGAUGACGUGAUGCCACGGUCACAGGCUGUUCUCGGACUCCCGACCUCCCACAUAAACCAACUAAAGUCACCCAAAGGAAGACAGGCCGGGAAGCCUAGGAACCAGACAGUGCCAGGUCAGCAUAGGCCACCUCUGCAAGCAACACUGAGGACGACUAGUCCUCUUCCUACUGAUGAGUUGAAUGUUGUCGCCCAAAGAGUUAUGGAAACAAGUUGAAAACCUUACUGAAAAGCACUAAAGAAAACCUCAAUAAACGAAGCACCACAUCACUCUCA
rnacentral:lncRNA from 1 species